CAAGGAAAAAAUCAGUGGAAACUGGAAGACAGACAACAGAAAUUAGCCAAUUUGGACAAUAGAGAGAAAAAUGGCUGAGGCAGGGCAUGGUGGCAUGUGCCUAUAGUCUCAGCUACUCUGAAGGCUAAGGUGGGAGGAUCACUUGAGCCAGGCGUUCAAGGCCAGCUGGAAUAACAUAGUGAGACCCUCUAAAAAAUAAAAAUGAAAGACUAGAAAAUAAAAAUGAAUAGAAUCUCAUGGACCUGUAACAAAAGAUCAGCUGGUGUGAUGGUUCAUGCCUGUAAGCCCAGCACUUUGGGUGGCUGAGAUGGGCAGAUCACCUGAGGUCGUGAAUUCAAGACCAGCCCAACCAACAUGGAGA